GACGAACCACCCAAACGUUAUUCGGAAUUACUGGGCUUAAAGAGUGCGUAGGCGGCCUGGAAAGUAAGGUGCGAAAUCCCACAGCUCAACUGUGGAACUGCGCUUUAAACCUCCCGGCUAGAGGGAUAUAGAGGUGAGCAGAACAGAUGGUGGAGCGGUGAAAUGCGUUGAUAUCAUCUGGAAUACCGGAGGCGAAGGCGGCUCACUGGGUAUCUUCUGACGCUGAGGUACGAAAGCUAGGGUAGCGAACGGG
rnacentral:rRNA from 1 species